GACGAACGCUGGCGGCGUGCCUAAUACAUGCAAGUAGAACGCUGAAGAGCGGAGCUUGCUCUUCUUGGAUGAGUUGCGAACGGGUGAGUAACGCGUAGGUAACCUGCCUUGUAGCGGGGGAUAACUAUUGGAAACGAUAGCUAAUACCGCAUAACAAUGGAUGACACAUGUCAUUUAUUUGAAAGGGGCAAUUGCUCCACUACAAGAUGGACCUGCGUUGUAUUAGCUAGUAGGUGAGGUAAUGGCUCACCUAGGCGACGAUACAUAGCCGACCUGAGAGGGUGAUCGGCCACACUGGGACUGAGACACGGCCCAGACUCCUACGGGAGGCAGCAGUAGGGAAGCUUCGGCAAUGGGGGCAACCCUGACCGAGCAACGCCGCGUGAGUGAAGAAGGUUUUCGGAUCGUAAAGCUCUGUUGUAAGUCAAGAACGGGUGUGAGAGUGGAAAGUUCACACUGUGACGGUAGCUUACCAGAAAGGGACGGCUAACUACGUG
rnacentral:rRNA from 1 species